CGCGAAGCGCACCGCGCGCGCGCUAACCAGUCGUUUGUUGAUCCAACGAGUGUUCAGGUCGACGUGCGACCAUUCGUAGAGUAAUAGUACCGUUCGACAAUUAAAAAAGAAAAAAGAAUAAUUAUAAAUUUCUCGAUGCAUCAUCGAUCGAAAACUUGAAUUUGGAAUCACCAUCCUUGCGAGGGAGGGGGAGGAAGGAAGGAAGGAAGGAAGAUAAAAAAAGGCAGAGGAAGAAUGAUGAAGAUGCAAAAAGUAGACAAACACACGUUGUUUUGAUUAUAUAUAAAGAUUAAUAAUUAAAAGAAAAAAA